rnacentral:rRNA from 1 species
AGGGAAUCUUCGGCAAUGGGGGCAACCCUGACCGAGCAACGCCGCGUGAGUGAAGAAGGUUUUCGGAUCGUAAAGCUCUGUUGUAAGUCAAGAACGGGUGUGAGAGUGGAAAGUUCACACUGUGACGGUAGCUUAACCAGAAAGGGACGGCUAACUACGUGCCAGCAGCCGCGGUAAUACGUAGGUCCCGAGCGUUGUCCGGAUUUAUUGGGCGUAAAGCGAGCGCAGGCGGUUUGAUAAGUCUGAAGUUAAAGGCUGUGGCUCAACCAUAGUUCGCUUUGGAAACUGUCAAACUUGAGUGCAGAAGG